rnacentral:lncRNA from 1 species
CACCAUGGACAUGGCGAACUGCCUGAAGAAGGCAGACUGGCUGAGCGCGAACCGCGUGGUCAAGAGCCUCGUGUCGGGGUGGUCGAUGAGGGCCUGGUCGGACUUGAACAAUCCCUGCCUGACGAUGAGGUCGAAGUAGUACUUGUUGUCGAACACGUCGGGCGUGCGCACGUCGAGGGUCUGAUUGACGGUGCCCUGGGGCACGUCCUUGGCGCACUUGGCCCGCAGCCUCCUGGCGAAUAGCGGGUCGAUGAGCGGGUUGAGGUCGAUGUUGGGAGCGAAGCGGUCGGAGAAGACGGGGCAGUGGGCGACGCCGAAGGUGUGCGCGCCGGAGAGCGAGACGAGGUCGGCCACGUCGAGGCUCCGGUUGCCGAAGGAGGAGAUGAGAGUCGGCACGUCGAAGGAGGGCGCCGGCAGGGUGUCCACGAGGUCCUGGGACGCCGGGGCGAGCCCGUCGCGGCGGCCGAGGGCGACGUCGAAGUGUGGCCCGCCAGCCUGCAUCCACCACGUACGUACUCGUUGAUUAAUCGGUUCUGCUCAGGUUGAAAAUAUCGUCUGACAUAUGUACGCUUGUGUGGAGCAUAUGGCCGGCAGGCAUGAAGUGGAGUGUACCUGUACGAGGGCGUCACGGGUGGCGAGGACGGUGAUGUCGGCGCAGGAGACGGUCGGGCCGCAGGCGGCAUGGACGGCGGCGCGGAUGCGCUCGAUGAGGUCGAGAGCAACGGGGCGGAGCGUCUGGUUGGGCACCGCAUUCAGCUCGCUGUUGUUCCCGGUGAGGAGCACCGACGCGUCGCAGCCCUGCGGGAAGCAGUCGUGGAAGAGGAUGCGGAUGAGGGCGGGGGCGACGCCGACGUCGCGCCGGAAG